rnacentral:rRNA from 1 species
UACGAAGGGGGCUAGCGUUGUUCGGAAUCACUGGGCGUAAAGCGCACGCAGGCGGAUCGUUAAGUCAGGGGUGAAAUGCCGAGGCUCAACCUCGGAACUGCCUUUGAUACUGGCGAUCUUAGAGUCCGGGAGAGGUGAGUGGAACUCCGAGUGUAGAGGUGAAAUUCGUAGAUAUUCGGAAGAACACCAGUGGCGAAGGCGGCUCACUGGCCCGGUACUGACGCUCAGGUGCGAAAGCGCGGGGAGCAAACAGG